GACGAACGCUGGCGGCGUGCUUAACACAUGCAAGUCGAACGAAGAGCGAUGGAAGCUUGCUUCUCUCAAUCUUAGUGGCGAACGGGUGAGUAACGCGUAAUCAACCUGCCCUUCAGAGGGGGACAACAGUUGGAAACGACUGCUAAUACCGCAUACGAUCUAACCUCGGCAUCGAGGAUAGAUGAAAGGUGGCCUCUACAUGUAAGCUAUCACUGAAGGAGGGGAUUGCGUCUGAUUAGCUAGUUGGAGGGGUAACGGCCCACCAAGGCGAUGAUCAGUAGCCGGUCUGAGAGGAUGAACGGCCACAUUGGGACUGAGACACGGCCCAGACUCCUACGGGAGGCAGCAGUGGGGAAUCUUACGCAAUGGACGAAAGUCUGACGGAGCAACGCCGCGUGAGUGAGGACGGCCUUCGGGUUGUAAAGCUCUGUUAAUCGGGACGAAAGGCCUUCUUGCGAAUAGUGAGAAGGAUUGACGGUACCGGAAUAGAAAGCCACGGCUAACUACGUG
rnacentral:rRNA from 1 species